rnacentral:ncRNA from 1 species
GGGGGGAAUACUUUGACUCAUGAGGGAGAAGGGGAGGGGAAAGGCGUCUACCUAGAGGGUUUCUGUCGAUCAAGGGCGAGAGUAGGAGUAUCCCACAGGAUUAGAGACCCUGGUAGUUCCUACCUUAAACGAUGCCGACAGGAGUUUGUCAUUUGUUAAUGGCAGAAUCUUUGGAGAAAUCAUAGUUCUUGGGCUCUGGGGGAACUACGACCGCAAGGCUGAAACUUGAAGGAAUUGACGGAAGGGCACACCAGGGGUGGAGCCUGUGGCUUAAUUUGAAUCAACACGGGGAAACUUACCAGGACCAGAUGUUUUUUAUGACUGACAGGCUUCGGGUCUUUCAGGAUAUUGUUUUUGGUGGUGCAUGGCCGUUGGUGGUGCGUGGGUUGACCUGUCUAGCGUUGAUUCAGCUAACGAGCGAGAUUAUCGCCAAUUAUUUACUUUGCCGAAGUCCUUCGGUUAAAGUUCUAAUUGGGACUCCCUGCGAUUUUAGCAGGUGGAAGAGGGUAGCAAUAACAGGUCCGUGAUGCCCUUUAGAUGCUCUGGGCUGCACGCGUGCUACAAUGUUAGGAUCAAUAGGACUGCGAGCCUGAGAGGGUGCGCUACUCUUAUAAUCCCUAACGUAGUUGGGAUUGACGUUUGUAAUCAGCGUCAUGAACCAGGAAUCCCUUGUAAAUGUGUGUCAACAACGCACGUUGAAUACGUCCCUGCCCUUUGUACACACCGCCCGUCGCUCCUACCGAUUGGAUGACUCGGUGAAAUCACCGGAUGCUUACGAGCAGAAAGUGAUUAAAUCACGUUAUCUAGAGGAAGGAGAAGUCGUAACAAGGUAACGGUAGGUGAACCUGCCGUUGGAUCAGUU